rnacentral:rRNA from 1 species
AAGGGCAUUUGAUCAGACAUGGUGUUUUGCGACCCUCGCUCCUUGUGGGUGGGGUCAUCGCAGUUCACUGGGCCAACAUCAGUUUUGGCGGCAGGAUAAAUCUCUGGGAAUGUAGCUACUCUUCGGAUUAGCAUUAUAGCCCAGGGGAAUACUGCCAGCCGGGACUGAGGACUGCGACUUUUGUCAAGGAUGUUGGCAUAAUGGUUAUAUGCCG